CGGAAAGUUAGAUUGCGGGGUCCUCCGGCCUCAGCCGCGAGCCCGGGGCUCUCUGCCCGGCCCUGGGUGGAAGUCAGGCUUUUUGCUCGCCGAGUCCAUUGCUCACGUUAUUUGCACCCCUAAGGGAGGAUGAAGUCUAGUGGCCUUACACUUCCUUCAGAAGCAUGAGAAGGGCAAAGCUCAGCUGUGUUGUGAAGUAUUAAAGUAAAAUGGAGAAGAAGGAAAGAAAAGAGAGAACCAGUAUCAAACAGAACGUGAGUUCCUUCCAGCCUGUGGCUGACCAAAUAUCUUCUGCAAAUCUGCCUGUCUUCUUGACCUGCAGCAGAUGAUAAUAACAAUACAGUGUGCUUAUCCUGUGCCAGGCACAGCUUCAAGACUUCUCACAGAAACCAUAUCUAAUUUUCACAAUAACUGAAUGAAGUAGAGACUAUCAACACCCGCGUGAUAGAGACGAAGAAAUCGGGGCUUAGAAAGCUUGAAAGCGGCAGAGAAAAAUAACGAAAAGAUGAAGACCAGCCACCACGGUAGACAUCCUAACCUUUUCCCAUCUCCCUCUGGCAGUUGAAAUUCCUCUUCUUUAUUGAAAGGGUUGAGUCGUUCAUUCAACAGCCAGACAGCUUAACCGAAUAUCCUUGUGGCGGGAUUUCCUUUACAAGAUUCAGUUCACAGAUGCCACAGGCGGGGAUCCAUAUUCCCAGUGGGAUGUAACCUCAUGUGCAAACCUGUCACACUGCCUACCGGUACAUCCUCCACAGUUAAUCCGUUCGCAGGGCUCCUAGCCAUGCUAGCUACAUCACCAUAUUUACGCUGAGGCCUUACCAUCUCCUCCAUCUUGGGAAACAUUGGCAUUGAACUGAAUCCCAGAUCUAAUCCUUUAUGCAAAUACUACCAGGAAAUCUGGACCAUGGACACAUGUGCCUUGCUCACCAUACGGAGUGUUCAAACUGGAAACGCUGCCCUCUGCCAAGAACUCUGGAGUCAUCCUGUCACCAACUAUUAACUCAGAGAUCCGUCUUCUCAUUGGCAGCUAACCACCAAACCCACAAAGUUGUAUUUAAUUUGCUCUUGGAGGAAGGACUGAGUUGUCCCUGUGCGAAUGAUGCUCCUCUGUGGAGCCCUGGAGAAUGCUGGAUAUUCACGACAAGCAACCCUUCUCCUGCCUGUCAGUGGCAUGGCUGGUCUGUGCCAGUCAACCUUUCAUGAAAUCAAGAACAAGAAAACUACCGCUGGCUGCACCAGCUCUUGAGGGAGCUUGGGCUUUCUUCUGUAAACUCAAGCCUUCUAUUAACACCAGUUAAUGCGCUCUGAUCUCCCAGCAGCUUGCUUAUUUGCUCUGUAGAAAGGAUGCGCGUUGCUUUCUUGGCAACCAGAGAUAUUACAGGCAGCAAUGAUGAGAGCUGAUGGCUGUGUUUUUCUUGUGAAAUGUAUGCACAUGCUGGGGUAGGCAAGGAGUUAGUGCAGAUUCUCAAAAAGGCAUCUUAACACUUACCAAACGCUAAUGCGCCAGCAGGCAACCCUCAAUCUGUCAUUGCUUAAAAGCAAGCCAAGAGCCUACGAGAUAGCUUAGAAGAUCAAGGACUUUUGAUGUCAAGCUUGGUGACCUGGGUUUGAUCCCUUAAACCCACAUGGCAGAAGGAGAAAACUGACUGCUGGCAGUUGUCCUCUGACCCCCAUGUCCACACCGUGCAUGGGUGCAUACGUGUGUGCAUGCAUGUGCACACAGACACAAGCUCGCUCUCUCUCUC